UUAAGUAAGGAAGGGCGUACGGCGAAUGCCUUGCCACUCGAAACUGAAGAAGGACGCGCCAAACUGCGAAAAGCUCCGUGAAGCUGUAAGGAAGCGAAGAAGCGGAGGUGUCCGAAUGGGGGAACCCGGCAGCAGACAUGAGCUGUCAUCUGCAGGUGAAUACAUGGCCUGCAAGAGAGGUACCCGGCGAACUGAAACAUCUAAGUAGCCGGAGGAAAAGAAAACAACAGUGAUUCCCUGAGUAGCGGCGAGCGAAAGGGGAGAAGCCCAAACCGGUUGAAGGACCGGGGUUGAAGGACCAUGACAUGGCAAGAACGAGGAUAGGAGAACGGGAUCGAAAGCCCGGCCGAAGAAGGUGAAAGCCCUGUAACCGAAAUCCGAGUAAAGCCUAAUGGGAUCCUGAGUACGGCGAGACACGAGAAAUCUUGUCGGAAGCAGGCGGGACCAUCCGCCAAGGCUAAAUAUAAACGAGUGAGCGAUAGUGAACCAGUACCGUGAGGGAAAGGUGAAAAGAACCGCGGGAGCGGAGUGAAAGAGAACCUGAAACCGUAUGCCUACAAGAAGUCAGAGCCCGUUAAGGGGUGAUGGCGUGCCUUUUGUAGAAUGAACCGGCGAGUUGCGACAGACUGCGAGGUUAAGGAGGAAAGACCGGAGCCGAAGCGAAAGCGAGUCUUAAGAGGGCGAAAGUAGGAUGUUGCAGACCCGAAACCGGGUGAUCUAGCCAUGAGCAGGUUGAAGUUGAGGUGAAACUCAAUGGAGGACCGAACCGACUACCGUUGAAAAGUUAGCGGAUGACUUGUGGCUAGGGGAGAAAUUCCAAUCGAACCCGGAGAUAGCUGGUUCUCCCCGAAAUAGCUUUAGGGCUAGCGUCGGAAAGAACCUUAGUGAAGGUAGAGCACUGAAUGUGUGAUGGCCCCAUCCCGGGGUACUGAAUACAAUCAAACUGCGAAUGUCAUUAAGGAUGUCCGGCAGUCAGACUGUGAGUGAUAAGGUCCAUGGUCAAGAGGGAAACAGCCCAGACCGCCAGUUAAGGUCCCAAAAUACAGGCUAAGUGGAAAAGGAUGUGGGGAUGCCCAGACAACUAGGAGGUUGGCUCAGAAGCAGCCAUCCUUUAAAGAGUGCGUAACAGCUCACUAGUCGAGUGACCCUGCGCCGAAAAUGUACCGGGGCUAAGCCUGAUACCGAAACUGCGGAUUGUAGGAAACUAUAGUGGUAGGGGAGCGUUGUAUACGAGCAGAAGCCGUACCGUGAGGAGCGGUGGAUUGUAUAGAAGUGAGAAUGCCGGUGUGAGUAGCGAGAUGUAGGUGAGAAUCCUACACACCGAAAGCCCAAGGAUUCCAGGGGAAGGUUCGUCCGCCCUGGGUAAGUCGGGACCUAACGCGAGGCCGAAAGGCGUAGUGGAUGGAAAGCAGGCGAAAGAUUCCUGCACCCGUAUAUGGAGCGAAGGAGUGACGGAGACGGAUAGUGUGACCCUCUUAAUGGAUUGAGGGCGAAGCGAAGCGGCUGGUUACCAGGCAAAUCCGGUAACCAUAAGGCUAGAGCGUGACAGGUAAGCGAAAUCUUAGGAAAGUAGCGAAGCACAUGAUGACGGCUUCCAGGAAAAGCUUCUGGCAAUGCAUAUGCGGCCCGUACCAAAACCGACACAGGUGGGCAGGGAGAGAAUCCCGAGGUGAGCGAGAGAACUGUUGCCAAGGAACUCGGCAAAAUGACUCCGUAAGUUAGCGAGAAGGAGUGCUUAAGCAAUUAAGCCGCAGUGAAGAGGCCCAAGCGACUGUUUAACUAAAACACAGCUCUCUGCGAAGUCGCAAGACGAAGUAUAGGGGGUGACACCUGCCCGGUGCUGGAAGGUUAAGAGGAUCUGUUAAGAGCGAUCUGAAGCAGUGAUCCGAAGCCCCAGUGAACGGCGGCCGUAACUAUAACGGUCCUAAGGUAGCGAAAUUCCUUGUCAGGUAAGUUCUGACCCGCACGAAAGGUGUAACGAUUUGGGCGCUGUCUCGGCAGCAGACUCGGUGAAAUCUUAGUACCUGUGAAAAUGCAGGUUACCCGCAACUAGACGGAAAGACCCCAUGGAGCUUUACUGCAGCCUGAUAUUGAAUUCUGGUCAUACAUGUACAGGAUAGGUGGGAGACAAAGAGACGUGCACGCCAGUGUACGAGGAGUCGACGUUGGGAUACCACUCUUGUGUGACCGGGGUUCUAACCUGGUAUCGAGAACAGGUACGGGGAGAGUGUCAGGUGGGCAGUUUGACUGGGGCGGUCGCCUCCCAAAGAGUAACGGAGGCGCCCAAAGGUUCCCUCAGCGCGGCCGGAAAUCGCGCGAAGAGUGUAAAGGCAGAAGGGAGCUUGACUGAGAGCCAAACACGGCGAUCAGGUACGAAAGUAGGGCUUAGUGAUCCGGUGGCAUCCAAGUGGAAGGGCCAUCGCUCAACGGAUAAAAGCUACCCUGGGGAUAACAGGCUAAUCUCUCCCAAGAGUCCAUAUCGACGGGGAGGUUUGGCACCUCGAUGUCGGCUCAUCACAUCCUGGGGCUGAAGUCGGUCCCAAGGGUUGGGCUGUUCGCCCAUUAAAGUGGUACGUGAGCUGGGUUCAGAACGUCGUGAGACAGUUCGGUCCCUAUCCAUCGCGGGCGCAAGAGAUUUGAAGGGGGCUGCUCCUAGUACGAGAGGACCGGAGUGGACGAACCAAUGGUGUACCAAUUAUCUCGCCAGAGGUAUAGUUGGGUAGCUACGUUCGGAAAGGAUAAACGCUGAAAGCAUCUAAGCGUGAAACCAGCCUUAAGAUGAGAUCUCUCAUAGAGUAAUCUAGUAAGACACCUUGGAGAAGACGAGGUUGAUAGGUCGGGAGUGUAAGUACAGUAAUGUAUUCAGCGGACCGAUACUAAUAUGUCGAGGGCUUGACUUA
rnacentral:rRNA from 1 species